UGAGGUAUGCGGUGUCACAAGCCACAGGAGCACAUUGUGGUACUCAGAGGACACAGACUAUGUGAUAACAUUUUCUGCCUUUUCAGAUAUUUGUUUAUUUUUAUUUUAUAAGUACGAAUCUUUUCCCUGCAUGUAUGUAUGUGUACCAAGUGUGUGCCUGUGGAGGCCCAACAAGGGUGUCAGAUCCUUUGGAACUGCAGUUAGGGACAGUUGUAAGCUGCCCUGUCAUCUCUAAGAACAGCAAGUGCUUUUAACUGUGGAGCCAGCCCCAUGAAAACAUUGUGCUAAUGACAGCUAGCUAAGAUGUUCAGAUAUUGUUAUUGUAAUAAAGGCACUAUCUCAGCUACAGAGUUUCCAUAACAGAGAAAUAGCAAAUGAGCUUUAACAAAAACUUAAGUUCUCACGCUAGUCAAAUUAGAGACACUCAUUCGUUCACUGAGAUUGGCUGAGCACCUACUGUGUGUGGGGGAGGGGGUUUAUAAACACUGUUCAGGUCCAUUGGUAAGACAGUAGGCAGGAGCCCUUGGCUACAUGGAAUUUAUGCUCAAGUCUAGCUGGGAGGUCAGAUUUAAAGCAGUAGACAUGGCAAGGAUAAGGGUUGAGACUCCUUCAGCUAGGAUAUUGGGUAACAAUUCCCGAGGAGGGAGCAGUUGAGCAGGGAAGUGACUGACUGGUCAUUCUCUCAGUCGCUGGGAAUGCUGUAGGCAGUCAGCUCACUGGAUGGCAAUGUUUGGCCUGACUUAAGGAGCAAGGAGUUAAUGCCCUGUGGGAGUGGACAGAGUGGUGCAAGUUGAGAGAGGCUGUAGGACAACUGGAUGCAGUGCUGAUGGACAGGAAGUCACCAAUGGCCCGGUCUACUUGUGGCCAUUGACAUAUAGCCACUCCACACCGAUGUCUACAAGAGUCCCCUUGAAAUUAGGUGGGGCCGUGCCUUGCUUUGACCAGGGAACCAUAUGCCAUUCCCCAGAAUUGAAUCUGUUCAUCCAUAUGGACAAGUCUCCAGUCUCCAGUCUCCUGCUUCAGCAGCUAUGAAAGCAGAGUGAUAUCAACCAAUGUAAGGAAACACACUUGGGCUCCCGGGAAAGUCCAAGUCAGUGUGUCGCUCGGCCUUUAAAGAACUGGGUUGAAAUGAUGGAGGUCAAAGAGUUAUGGUGAGCUCCCAGAUUUCUUGGUUCUGUCUGGAUCUCUGUUUUAGUUGAUUUAAAUUCUGAAUGCUAUCAAAUUCCUGCUUUCCAGGCUCAAAGAGAGUGGGUGAUCCAGAGAAUGAAUGUUAGUGACUGGAAAAGGACAAAGCUGUCGCCCAGACCAUCUAAAUGAAAACA
rnacentral:lncRNA from 1 species